CCUACGGGAGGCUGCAGUGAGGAAUAUUGGUCAAUGGCCGGAAGGCUGAACCAGCCAUGCCGCGUGAAGGUCAGUGCCCUAUGGGCGUUAAACUUCUUUUGUGCGGGAGCAAUAAUGGUCACGUGUGGCCAGACGAGAGUACCGUACGAAUAAGCAUCGGCUAACUCCGUGACAGCAGCCGCGGUAAUACGGGGAAUGCAAGCGUUAUCCGGAUUUAUUGGGUUUAAAGGGAGCGUAGGCUGUGAGGUAAGUCAGCGGUGAAAUGCCCCCGCUCAACGGGGUGAAGUGCCAUUGAUACUGCCUGGCUGGAAUGCGGAUGCCGUGGGAGGAAUGUGUGGUGUAGCGGUGAAAUGCAUAGAUAUCACACAGAACACCGAUUGCGAAGGCAUCUCACGAAUCCGCGAUUGACGCUGAUGCACGAAAGCGUGGGUAUCAUACAGGAUUAGAUACCCGGGUAGUC
rnacentral:rRNA from 1 species